UACGGGGGGAGCAAGCGUUGUUCGGAUUUACUGGGCGUAAAGGGCGCGUAGGCGGUCAGCACAAGUCAGUUGUGAAAUCUCCGGGCUUAACUCGGAAAGGUCAACUGAUACUGUGCGACUAGAGUGCGGAAGGGGCAACUGGAAUUCUCGGUGUAGCGGUGAAAUGCGUAGAUAUCUGGAGGAACACCGGUGGCGAAGGCGGCAUCCUGGACCGGUAUUGACGCUGAGGAGCGAAAGCGUGGGUAGCGAACAGG
rnacentral:rRNA from 1 species